rnacentral:rRNA from 1 species
UACGAAGGGGGCUAGCGUUGCUCGGAAUCACUGGGCGUAAAGGGUGCGUAGGCGGGUCUUUAAGUCAGAGGUGAAAUCCUGGAGCUCAACUCCAGAACUGCCUUUGAUACUGAGGAUCUUGAGUUCGGGAGAGGUGAGUGGAACUGCGAGUGGUAGAGGUGAAAUUCGUAGAUAUUCGCAAGAACACCAGUGGCGAAGGCGGCUCACUGG